rnacentral:rRNA from 1 species
AUUAGAUACCCUGGUAGUCCUCGCCGUAAACUAUGGAUGCUAGCUGUUAUUCGUAUCGACCCGAGUAGUAGCGAAGCUAACGCGUUAAGCAUCCCGCCUGUGGAGUACGGUCGCAAGACUAAAACAUAAAGGAAUUGACGGGGACCCGCACAAGCGGUGGAGCGUGUUGUUUAAUUCGAUGGUAAGCGAAGAACCUUACCCAGACUUGACAUCCUUGGAAGCACUGCGAAAGCAGAGUGUGCCUCCGGGAACCAAGUGACAGGUGUUGCAUGGCCGUCGUCAGCUCGUGUCGUGAGAUGUUUGGUUAAGUCCAUCAACGAGCGCAACCCUUGUGGCUAGUUGAAUUUUUCUAGUCAGACUGCCCUGGUAACAGGGAGGAAGGAGGGGAUGAUGUCAGGUCAGUAUUACCCUUACGUCUGGGGCUACAAACACGCUACAAUGGCCGGUACAAAGGGCUGCCAAGUCGCGAGACGGAGCAAAUCCCAUCAAAACCGGUCCCAGUUCGGAUUGCAGGCUGAAACUCGCCUGCAUGAAGUCGGAAUCGCUAGUAACGGUAGGUCAGCACACUACCGUGAAUACGUUCCCGGGUCUUGUACACACCGCCCGUCAAACCAUGAAAGUCGCCAAUACCUGACGUCUUAGCUAGUCUAGGCCUAAGGUAGGGGAGAUGAUUGGGGUUAAGUCGUAACAAGGUAA